rnacentral:rRNA from 1 species
UUAUUUGAGAGUUUGAUCCUGGCUCAGGAUGAACGCUGGCGGCGUGCCUAACACAUGCAAGUUGAGCGAUUUACUUCGGUAAAGAGCGGCGGACGGGUGAGUAACGCGUGGGUAACCUACCCUGUACACACGGAUAACAUACCGAAAGGUAUGCUAAUACGGGAUA